AGACCCGAAACCCGGUGAUCUAGCCAUGGGCAGGUUGAAGGUUGGGUAACACUAACUGGAGGACCGAACCGACUAAUGUUGAAAAAUUAGCGGAUGACCUGUGGCUGGGGGUGAAAGGCCAAUCAAACCGGGAGAUAGCUGGUUCUCCCCGAAAGCUAUUUAGGUAGCGCCUCGUGAAUUCAUCUCCGGGGGUAGAGCACUGUUUCGGCUAGGGGGCCAUCCCGGCUUACCAACCCGAUGCAAACUGCGAAUACCGGAGAAUGUUAUCACGGGAGACACACGGCGGGUGCUAACGUCCGUCGUGAAGAGGGAAACAACCCAG
rnacentral:rRNA from 1 species